rnacentral:lncRNA from 1 species
UUUUUUUUUUUUGAUUUUUUUUUUUUGCUGUGGAUUCAGUUUUGCUGUUUACUGCAAUUGUAGGUUUCUUAGAGCUUCAACUGCUAGAAACAAGACAUGUUUAUCUUUGAUAUCAAUGCAAUUAUUGUAACUUUGUAAGUAUAUACUUUGUGUCUUUUGUCUAAAAGCUGCAAUAUAAACUCAAAGACACUUUAUUUGAAAAGAGACCAAUAAUUAAUAAUUUCUUCCUUAUUCCUCCGUUCCGAUGCUUUGUAGAGGUAAAUGGCAAAGCAAAGUGUUAUGCCUAGAUUAUUAUCAGCCGUAAGUACAGAAAAUCUAAAGUGAGAUGGAAAUUUACAGAACUUGGAUGGAAUACACUCUUCUCUCAACUCGGUAUACCUACGACAAACAAGUACAAAGUAAAGUUCGAUCUCAUCACAGUAAUAACCAGCCAUCUAACAAUCCUCAUCCCGAAUUCUACAGAACAGCACGAGGGUCGGUACCAGUGCCUCGUCAAUGAAGAUAACGACAUUGGGUCAAGAGCAUGCUCUUCUAACCUGCUGCCAGGUAUGCAUAUUUCCACAAUGUUUAUUUUUACAAUGGGAUAUUUAUUAGCAAUAUAUAGGGGGAAGUAUUUAUAUAAUUAUAAUAAACACGGUAUUUCAAUGGUCUGCCACCAGUGACACUAUCAUAACCAGGUAGGGCUGUAGGAAGACUUUUUUUUUUUUUGCUUUUCGCUUUUCUUUAUUACUCUGUGUGUGUGUCUGUGUGUGUGUCUGUGUGUGUGUGUGUGUGUACGAUUUUUUAAAAUUAUUAGCAGAUAUUCAAAGAUGACCCAUGUCCCAAGGGGAGUGAUCCUCCUAAUGAUCCCCAAGGGGGGGGGAAGAGAUGGAAAAGGAGGAAAGACCAAAAUAAGCAGUUCUUUUCUCUUAUGAGAUCCCUGGCAGAUGGUCUGCCAGUGGACAUCCUUUGGGAUCUCCACAUGAAAAUCCACUAGGAACACCCGCCCCUCGUGGGAUGUCCUAGAAGAACUCGCCCGAGAGACGGGGCUAACCGACGAGCAAGUGUCGUCAUCAUCAUCAAACAACGACGAUACACCUCGAGUGUAUAUAAUACAUCAAACAAAUUAUAGAAUCCUCUAUCAGACAUUAAUAUAUCACCAAUCAACAAACAUGAUCAUUAUCCUCAUCGUCGUCGGCGGCGGCGGCGGCGUCGUCUUCAUCAUCAUCAAUUAUCAGAAUUCACGAUCAACCAUCAUCGCAAAUUAUCAAUCAGCAUCAUCAUCAUCAUCAUCAUCAUCAUCAUGCAUGAUACCAGUGUCUCGUCAAUGCCUCGGGACAAGAGCAUGCCAGGAGGCAAAAAAUAUUGAACACCAUAUUUCGGCUUCUGACUGAUCUUGUGGAUCAGAUAGAACAACUGCUAGAAAAAGGAAAAGAGAGGGUGAAUGGACAACAAUCAAAAACGACACCACCACUCCCGACGACAACAUGCAGAAAAAGAGAGGACCACUUCGCACACCCCCGAGCCUCGUCGAGCCCCGCGGGCAAGACUUCUCGAUGAGCAGCUGAUACUGCUGGAGAUGGAGUUCAUCUCAUUCAUCGACACACACAUUCUGACGGCUUGUCUGCCCCUGCUUGUUGCAGAAAACGACACCACCACUCCCGACGACAACAUGCAGAAAAAGAGAGGACCACUUCACACACCCCCGAGCCUCGUCGAGCCCCGCGGGCAAGACUGCUCGACGAGCAGCUGAUACUGCUGGAGAUGGAGUUACAGCGAAAUCAACACCCCUCAGCGGCUGUCCGCGAGGAGAUCGCCACAUUGACGGGGCUGUUACCCAAUUUUUACACCAGCAUUUUUUUUUUUUUUUUGCUGUGGAUUCAGUUUUGCUGUUUACUGCAAUUGUAGGUUUCUUAGAGCUUCAACUGCUAGAAACAAGACAUGUUUAUCUUUGAUAUUAAUGCAAUUAUUGUAACUUUGUAAGUAUAUACUUUGUGUGUUUUGUCUAUAGCUGCAAUAUAAAGUCAAAGACUAAUAAAACCUUUUAAAAAGAUUUAUUGGAAUUAGAAAAGUGUCAAAUGGUCGAAUGAGUUCGAGAGGAACGCAAACCCCUCGAAGGCUGUCCGAGAAGAUCUAGCCAAAAAAUUUGACAAAAGCGAACGACUCAAAGAGACACGUAUUAACACUGUGCAGCAAUUGUGACCAGUACGACGACAACACGACAGCACCACUCCUGACAACCAGCAGACUCGUCGCGCCCCACGGACAACACUCCGGGAUGAGCAGCGACAGCUGCUUGAGGAAGAGUUUCCGAGGACGCACUACCCCGGGGUGGCUGUCCGCGAGGAACUGGCCAGACAGACCGGGCUGUCGGCCAUAAGUUUUCGGGAAGGCACAUUAAACCCGUUAAAAGCCUAGUCCACUAGUUGCUAACCAAACAGUCCUGUACAUGUAAUGAAAUCCAGGUGGUCUUGUGGAUGGUUUUGUGUGGAUAAACUGUGCCUCCGACAGUCAAUCUAAAAAUAGGUCAUUGAACAAGCAGAAGUCUGUUAGCAGCUCCCCAUAUUCGUUGCAGUUUUCAAAUGAACCAAAAAAUAAAGGAAAGAAAGUAUCAAACAAACAAAGAAAAUGUUGAUAAACGAGCGUCUUUAAGUGGGAUCUAAUUACAUCUCAUUCAUCGACACACACAUUCUGACGGCUUGUCUGCCCCUGCUUGUUGCAGAACACGACAGGACCACAGGAGACGACGGAGUUCCAGCAAAAUCAGCGCCCGUCAGCAGAUGUCCGCGAGGAGAUCGCCGCUGUGACGGGGCUGUUACCCAUAAGAGUACGGGACAGCGAGCUCAAAGAAUUUUAUAAAAGCGUGCCUGGGUAGUCUUUAAUUAUUUGCCAGCCAGGAGGAGUGAUUCUGCCCCAUCAAAGAGAGGGAAGAAGAAUAUUAAAAAGGAGGAAAACAAAGCAUUCUUCUCAGUUAACGGCAAGUCUGACAUCAACACUUCCAGUGAGAUUCUUCAAGAUCUCCAUCUGCAAGUACAUAAAAUU